UUGCCGGUUUGAGCCGGUCCCGAAAUAGUGUUUUUGGAAAGCUGAUAUAAUGGCAGAUUCCCACGUAAUUUUUCUUGAUUUUUAGGUAUCUUAUUUACGAAGGAUUGAAGUAAUGAAACCGAACUUUAGGUUUGCCGAAUGUGUUUCUUAAUAGAUGAUAGAUGGCGAUUGCUGUAAUAGGGAUUUAACACAGAUUCAACACAGGUAGGGGGCAGUUCAGCCGCAGCAGGUGGGGCCGGUUGUCGUGGAGCUGGUCCCGAAUUGGUGUUUUUGGAAAGUUGACAUAAUGGCAGAUUCCUUAGUCACGUUUUACGAUUUUUAAGUGUCUUAUUUACGAAGAACGAAGCAAUGAAAAUCAACUUCAGGAUUGCGAUGUUUGUGUCCGUCGCUGGAUAGCGUUUAGCUUGGAAAAGAAACAUUUUGUGUCAGAUAAAGUAACCAUAACCAUGGUAAUCUAUAAGCUAAAGAGCUAUAAGAAAGUUUGUAUACCUGUAACCGGUUUUUACGAAAUUGAAACUUAUUUAUGAAUGAUAUGGCGUGUUGAUUGGAAUAGGAAAAGUUUUGUAAAUUGAUUGGAAGGGGAAAGGUUUUGUAAACAGGUUGUUUGUCAACCAAAAAGUCGCCGGUAAGGUUUCAUGUAUUUAUACAGUUUUUAUUUUGUCGUUUUCUGUAGCUUCUUACUCCCAUUUGAAGAAUUGACAACGCAUGUCGUUCUGUGUGUCAGCAGGGUUUUUAAUAAUUUUUAUGUCACAGAAGAAUCAUGGUAAAAUGGGGAAACCACCAUUUUGCGAUCAAAUCUUCAAACCGUUAUUGCAUCUAUGUGGAAAAGAGAGCUUAAAGUGUGUCAGCAGCUAACCUCCUUACAAGAAAAAGUAAUUCAUAUGGAUACACAGUAUUCAAAACAGCUGGAAGCAUUAAGACAGAAAUGAAGUUCAAGGUUUUUUCGUUUCAUUUUGACAAUAUUAUUUAGUCUGUGGUGGCAUUAUAUACCUUAUUUGAUACGUGAAUAUUUUUUGGAAAGUGGUUACAUAACAAGUGCAAGAAGAUUGAACGAAAUGUGAAAGAGCAACACAAGAAUAAAAUACUUCCAACCUCAACUCAAGAAUCAUCAAACAAAAGAAAAUCCUAAACAGAUCUUCUUUGAAAUGGCUGAAUGUGAGGCACUGAACAUAAUAUUUAAAGUUUGGUCUAACUACAUUAUUGCUAUGGUUGGAUUUGCAUUUCCUCAGUAGAAAUGUAACGCUACCGAUGCUGCAAUUCUGAUGGAAACGCUCAAAUUCAGCCUUCAGUCGUCCAUGUAUACAAUAACGGUAGAUGGCUGAUUUUUUUGUUCUUCCACUCCCACCUGUCCCCGUUCUUUCUUUUUCCGUCCGGAGCUUACAAAAGCUGAUUGGUAAUGACAGCGAUUUCUAAUUCAACCGUUAUGGAGCUGUAAAAACUACAAAUGAUUUCCGGUGGGGUCCAAGAAAAUUUGAUAGACCUAUUCCAUGGCAGUGAAAAUGGUAUAGCUGAAAUGGUAUGCAGCAACUUAGAGCGGGUCAAAGUACGAAAACCGGAGAUUGAUUCCACAAUCUUAAGCUUCACAGGCAGACACCCAUCCACAAAGCCAUGGGUGAUAGAUGAUAUAAAAAUGUGUUGAUAAAAAAAAAUUUAUUUUUUAGGUUAUUGAUUGCUGAGUCAGAGAACAAUAUGUAAAAUCUGACAUUCUAGCCCUCGAAACCCCAGCUAACCAUAUGCUUCAACAAGAGUAUAACGCAAUUAUAUUUUGA